AAGCGGGUGGUUGCUCAUCUGCUCCAGCACUGAGAAUUUACUGUGACUAAAGAAGUUUGGCCUGCAGUAACUCCUUCUCCACAUGUGACCUUUCUGAGUCCUGUUGAUCCUCCCGCAUAGAGUAUCUUGAUGCAAUUUUUUUCCUCAAGCACAGACUAACAGCACUGCUUGGGAGGAGGGAGGAAAAAUGCCACAGGGCUCUUGCAGUGCCAAGGAACAAGUGACAGCGAGCUGUUGGCUUUGUGAUGGAUCUUUCUGUGGACACGUUUCUGAGGGCGGUGACUAGCUGCUUGUCCAUGUCCCGCUGGCUGUAAUCGAUACUUUAUACAGGGCAGCGAUGCUACUGGUGUGAAUUUUCUACUUCUAUUUUGCGAUGCAGACAGAGAAGAUUUUCCUCUGACUGUUUGAUUAAUGUGUGUCUGAAAUCAUUAUGCCUCCCUGAACAAAAGCAAGCAAGCUAUGCAGCAAUCGAGGCCAGCGGUGCCCAAGUUCCUGAUGGGGAGAAAUCACGAACAAAUGAAAAUCAGGUGUCAAAAUGAAAGCUGAAUCCUUACCCGGACUGAAACCUUUGCAGAGUGGCAUAGGUGACCCGUGGAAAGUUCCCACCUGGCCUGCAUUGCCAUAUAGGAAAGAAUGAGAUGCUGCAAGUGAAAAGACAACAGACUGCAAUGGCUUCAACACCUCUUGAAAGAUAUUUGACAUGGGAAAUAUGCUGGAAAAAUAGCCUGGUUAUAGGGAAAGACUGAGCCUUGCACCAACACACACCUGAAUUCUCUUUAUUGUAGGUAAAACACUAGACAAAGAGAAAAUUGUGGGUUUUAAUCACCACAUGCCUGAUUUCAAAGCUAAGUUGAAAAUUACUUCUCCAAGUUGGAAAUUCCUUUUCAUUUUACAUCCCAAAUUAAUUUACAGUAAAACAAGUCCAUCUAGUUGUAAAACUUGAGAGGAAACACUUGGAAAUCUCCCAAACAUUAUGUUUGAGUAGCUCUGACUUUUCUCUUUCCCUUUUCCCUAUCCUCAAAUUUUCACUUGUUGAUUAUUUUUUUCCAUUCCUUUAUAAGGUGGGUUAAAUAUUAAAUAUGACAGCAAUUCCAAUGGGACCAACAAUGUGAUUGUCACUCGGCUCUCCUCAGUGGCUACUCCUGCAGCUCGUAUGUCAGCCAGCAGAGUCAAUGCAGAGCGGCCUGUCCCAUUUCCCUCACUGGUUUGUCUAUGCAGAUGAUAUGGAUUAACCUGGAAAGUGAGAAACUGGAGCUGAUCCUAAGCCCUUCCUGCAUGUCUGAAGAACACAGAUGUGUGGAACUUAUAAGCAAGCUCACAGAUCACUUCCCUUAUUGAGGAUCUUUCAUUAGGCUGGCCUUACUCAUGAUAUAUAGCGUUUCUUCUGCCUCAGAGUUACUUACAUUACUCCACUGUUUAUCACUUUGUGGUUUUAUUUUAUAUUAUCCCUGUCUGUAAUGACUCAUGAGACUGUGAACACAUAUAACAAAACUUGAGCUACCUCUUUCUGGCAGAGAUGCAAAUACAGCUCAGUUCACAAAUUUUCCAGCAGCUCUCCUGAUCCUGUGUACUUCAUAAAGGUGUGAGUCAAUAAUUCAAAUCAACAUCUCACCUGCACUGAAAAUGCAAUCACUUUGAGGACAAAUCUGACUUCAGAAAUAAAGGCUUGUAAGAUUGCAAGGAAAACCCAGCAAUUUUAGGGCAGGGUAAGCUGUUUGUUUACACAUUUGUGUGUGUUCACCCAGAAUACAGGAGUGUUUUAACUGAGAGAAGCUUUUCUCAGUGGGAAUGAAUGUGAGACUGUACUGGAUAAUAAAUGCUGUGGGUCAGGAGGUUUUCAAACUUCUUUGCCAGCAUGUGCUGACUUUGAAUGACUCAUAGUCCUUCACCUUUUUCUUCCAGGCAGCACGUAUCACCUUCCCACCUCUCCCAAAAGUGAAGUAUAGUGGCAGAGUGUUUAAAGUAGGACCCAGAGGCUCUAAGCUGAAGGUUGAAGUCCUCCCUUGGACUUCAGCUGAAGCCCUGGAGAUGACCUGGUUUCUUGUAGGUGUCUGGUUGUUUGGACUGGGAGUCAAAGGGACCAGCAGGGAUAUGGGCUGAGCAUGCCAUAAAUCCUGCCAGUCUGAGAGGCCCACUGGCUUAGGAGAACGCUUGAUCUUUAACACACAGCUUCUCUGUGGCUGUCACAGCUGUUACUUGGUGUGAGAACAUUAGAAGGGGUUUUGAGAACAGUGUUCCAGGCUACUUUUAUGAGAGUUUGAAUGUGGGAGCAAGAUGGGACAUCCUCAUUUGUACAAUAUUCCAGGCUCCAUAAAGCAUCCAGCAAGGUCCCUGAUGAAGACCUCUGUCAGGCCAUAAGCCGCAGUUUGGGAACACCUGUCCUAUGGCAUCAAUAGACUGUGCCAUACAUCUUCCCCACUGACUUCAGCAUCUGCUGUGCUGCCUUCCUUUGUGAGACUCAAAGCCAUGCUGCCUUUCCCUUAUGCCAGCUGAAAUCAAACCCUUCUGGGUGGAUCCUUACAUGCAUCUGAGCCUCACAAGAGCUCCGGGCAACUUGAGCAUGAGGGAGAGUCAUUGGCCAUGUCCAGUACCCUUGUGUAGGUGUGAUGGCAGGUGACCACGAGGGUAGAUGUGUCAGUGCUACUGGCUGCCUUGGAUGUCAUCUCUUCCCUUUCUCUUCCCCUGUUUCUCUUAGGGGACAACUGUAACAGGACAGAUGGCUGAAGCUAGACCCUCAGAAACAGAGAUGACCAAAAUAAGUUGUCACUUAAAAAAAAAAAGGGCACAACCUGAUCUUUUGAUUCCUCCUACUCCUGACUGUUAAGUGAGGAUAAUAAAUGCUUUCUCACUUUACAGAGCAGUAUGACACUAGAUAUAUUUUCAAAGGUGUCUCAUGCAACAAGGAUGACUGCCACAGGGAAAAGAAAAAAAAUAGGCUUCCUCAUCCGUUGUAUACCCUUUCUGCAAACUCCCUUAACAGCUACUGAAAAAGAACCAUCACUUCACAUGCCAGCUAUCAAAUAGGAGGAAGGAGAACCCCCUCCUCUCCAGUGAUGUGGGCGUGUUUCCCUCACAACUUGAGCCCUGAUCCUGGGUCCAGGCUUACUUCUCCCCAGGGCCAGUGGCACCUCAGUGGGGGCUAAUCCUGCAAGGCAGGGAAGGGAGUCAGCCCCCAACUCUGUAUUCCCCUUAUGUGGGGACAUAGAUUAAAUAGAUCAUUUCCUAGUGGAUCUCUAGUUCCUCACACGCUGCAGAAAGGUGGGUAGGUCCUUCUGCAGUUUUGGGGAAGGCUCUGACAGCAGUGUACCAAAGCACAAAACCUAUGGAGUAACAGAAAAAUACAUGCCCUCCCUUAGCAUCAGCUGAAAACCACAGGAGAUUUGUUAAAUCUGCAGACAUAGUUUUUCCUCUUAUGGAGAAGUGCUCAGCCUCCGUCUCCUUUCUGUAGGUGUGAAAACCUCUUCCCUUGAUGGGGUGGUGCUGUGUGGGUGGACGAUGCCAGGUGGGCAGCAGGCGUGGGGGCAGUCUGUGCUUGAUUCAGCUGAACGUGUGCAUGAGCUUCCUCUCACGCGGCCUGAACCUGUGUGAGGGAAGGAAGGGGGAGUGGUGCUGAAAUGGUAAUGUCUUACUAACUGUUAUAUUCCUCAUCAGAUGGCCCGGUGAGCCAUCUUUGAGGACUGCAAAUUCAAAUCAAGAGAAGGUUGUUACAUCAAGGUUUGAAUAAGCAAUCAAGUAACCCUCGCUGCUUCCCUGCACAGCAUUUGCAACCAAUCUCGAAGCAUCCCAAUGCUGCAGAGGCAGGCAAGUGUAAUUAGCUGCGCUUAAGGGAGGAGCCAAUAGAGGCUUUGGGAAAUGUGCUUCUGCAGGAACAGUAGAUGUUACCUGGAGAUAGCAGAGGUGCAGAGAUGUCUGGCUGGGAAAGGUCUGGCAGCACUCUCCUGCCUGCUUCUGCAGCUGAGGACUGUCUUUGACCUGAAACAGGGAGGUUUCUUUGUGGUGAUACCCUUAUGGGCUGCAGAACAGGGCAGCAGCUGGGGUGCUUGUGGUGGGUCCUCACUAGAGGCAGGGCUGAGGCCCUCUGGGUGCACUGUAGUCCAGUGAGGGGGCUCUUUGGGGCAGAAGGGCCAUCCUGAGAGACCCAAAUAGCCAUACCACAUGUACCAUAGGGCUCGCUGCUUGGAGGCUGCCAAGAGUUCGGACUCCUGCUGCAAUAGAGUAUUAACAGGCACCGCAAACAAGGGCCAACAACCAAGUCAUUGCCCUUUGAAAACCUGCUGCUGCCACUGUUCGUUUUCAUAGUCCUUUCCCCUACAACAGUAUAAACAAGCUGUCAUCUAUUUUUCAAUGAAAAAUACUUUUGCUUGGCUUGGGUUCACGUUGCACUGUUACUAUUUGCUGUCGCGGAAGCUGCUGCAGCUAUAAAUAACCUCACCACAAGAUCCUCUUUUCUGUAAGUUUGAGUGCUUGCUUCGGAAGAGGCAGACAAGAUUAGGAUUUGUUUUGAAUGGGAGAGUCUCUUGGCAGAGGUGAUGGGUAGCUGCCAUCAUCAGGGCACUCACACCCCAUAGGCCCAAGCUUCCCGGCAGAGGAUGCAGAGCCUGGCUGCCCAAAACUGCUCUCAUGUCACCCAGGAGGUAACACUUGUGCUGAGAGUGGUGGAUGAGAGCAACCAGCAGUGAUGCUCCACUUCCAUCAAUGCAACCCAGUGCCACUUUCCAUGGCCCUUGCUUUCCCAUCUGAUUGUGUUCCCCUGAAAGGGCCUCUGACAGCCUGGACACAGCUCAGGAGAAACACCCCAGGGCCGCUGCAGCCCCCACUGACUCCAGGACAUGACAGCCCAGGAGCCUUGCUGGCCCCUUCCAACACCUACUGGCAUGCAGUCAAGGCCAAUGGGGAGGCCAGAGCAUGUACAUGUGUCCUGACUGCAGGGCAAGAUCCAAACGUUCAACCUAGCAGAAAAAUGCUCAUUCCUUGGGCUUCUUUGGCUUGGGUUUUCUUCCAUAUUGCCAAGUCUGGUUCAGAUGGGAGGGACAGAUAAACCCUGGGUCUGGCACAACAGAAGGGGGAGGAAGAGGGGCAGGACCCCAUUUUGCAGUGGAAUAGUACAAAAGUGACAUCCUCUCCAAGUACACUUGCAUCUCACUAGAUGGUUGCAGAGCCCCUGGGAUGUGGGGAAACCAUACAGUGACUGCAGGCAUGUGCUUCGCAGGUGAUUCGUUCAACCUCUGGUGCCAACCAAGUGUGAGAUUAACCAAACAGGUUUCAUACACUCUCCUCUUCCAGGAAGCAUUUGCUUUGUUGUCGUUGUCCGGGGCUGUUCUUUCCUCCAUCUGCCGUCCUGCCUUGGCCUCAUUCAUGGUGACAGCCACAUCCACCGUCAUGCACUGCUGCUGAUGGUAAAUGCGUGUCUUGGGCAGGGGCCAUGGUGAGGCUUGCCUUGAGGUGGAGCAAUGUGGUUAUGCUCAUCUAGAUCACUGUCCUUGCUGCAGUAAAUGCUCUGAGCUGAUCAUGCCCUAGAUAGAGCUGGGAGUCAACUUCAGAAAGGAGAGCUGGUUUUGACUGCAAACUGAAUGAACACGGUGACUCAUCUCAGUUCCUAAAAGCGAAGAAGUAUUUGUUUCCAUACCACAAGAGGCUUUAACUUAACAUUCAAGGUCUCUGGCUGUGUUUCACUUCUAUGGCUGGCUGCCACUGAUCAGGGUUCAUCGCCCUCCCUCUCUCCUGUCUCCAGACUUGCAAAGCUCUGCCCCUGCCCUGGUGCAGACCCCCGCACUGAGCUGACACAGGAAAUUUGACCAGGCAAAAAUUAUCCCCUUCUUCUUUAUUUUCAGCAAGCUUAGUUUUCUUUAGUUUUAGCUCUGGUGUCAGGAGCAAGGCAAAGGGGAAGGAGGCCUGUCCUGGAUGACUGGAAGCUUUUGGUCAGCUUAGCAUGCACUCUCUGUCCCUAAACAGUGAACCCACACUGUGCCGCGUCUGCCUUCCCCUUGACUGCUACGUGGACAGAGCUGGCAGAAAGUGUUGCUCCUCCUUUCCCCAGGGCUCAGGCACCAGACCAGAAAGAAACAAGCCUGCAGAUUUAUUCCCGAGCCCUUUUGUUUUUGUGAUACUUUACUUUCCCAGCCAGACAGGAUGAGAAACAGCUACCACCAAACUACUACGAGUGAGGUUAUUCUUGAAGUGUUUAUAGCUUGGCCUUGCUGGAGAAUGUUUGGCUGCCUCCCAAGACAGCCUAUUCUCACUGUGUUUCCAAGGCAGUCUCUGAACUUUCGGGCACUUACCCAAACAGAAUCUGGACUUUUUGAAGUUUGCUUAUCUCUGUUUAUGAGGGCCUGCUUCGAAGGGGAGUCAGGGGAGUGCAACUGAGACCAAGGGUUCAAGGAGCAAAUGAGACAGUGCUGAAAGGAAGCUCUGAUACGCUUUGUUUGCGUUGCACAUGAGAGUGGUGCCCCAGUGUCCUCUGAACACCCAGCUCUGGUCUGCCCAAGCUAAUAGUCAGCCUGGCUGUAUCUGGUAGAUCUCUUGAUUGCAAAAGGCUUUUAAAAGCCUUUAAAAGGCUUUAAAAAGCCUUUAAGUUCCUCAGUCAUUUUUAAUUUAUGAAACCAAAGGUCAAACUGAUAUGGGAGUGCUUGAUUAAAUGAGGAGGGGGCAAGCUGAUGUAGCUGGAGCUUCAGACCAAUGUUCUCCUGUGAACCUGGAGGGGUUAAGGUGAGAGCUGUCAGGUUUUGCACACCUCUGCAAAGUAGUGGUUGGCCUGUUCCAAUCAGCCUGGCUGAGAAAAGCAGCCUCUACUGCUGCUACUUUUCCCUGCCCUCUGUUUUCCAGACAGUCAACUGUUACUUAUUUUUCUCGAGGAGAUUCUGCCUCAUUAUUGCUGGAGGACAGCAAGUGUUUGCUAAAUUCUUCCCAUUUUGUUUUUAUUCCACAGUAUUUCCUGUGAUGGUAUCCCAGGAUCUCUCUGUUUUCAGCUACAGAGUGAAAAAGCUGUAUCAAUCUAGAAUGAAUAAAACUCAACCCAAAAUAUGGGUGAGGAAUGAGCUGUGCAUUUUAGCACAUGCAUGUGAAUUUGCACUCCGCAAAAGGACUUUAAAACAAUAGUAACUGAAAGCUUGCUUUACAUGUUUAAGGACAAAUACAAACCAAUCAGGAUAAAAUCAAAUGAAAUAUAUAGUACUAUUGUUGAAAUUCUGAUAUAUUCAAAAGUUAUUUAAUUGCAUGCUACUACAGAGUAUCCUUGGUUGCCACUCUCAGUUACUGACAUUAUUAGUCUAGCAUUAUACUGUUCAAAAUGUAAUAAAAUAUUUCCAUUAGUUUUGGAGCAACAUGAUCUCUGAGAAAAUAGACAUUUGAGAAUGCACUGCGUGAUCAGGCAAACGCAGGGAUUUGAUUUUAUUAAUUGGCUAUUAGGGCAAACUUCAGCCUUUCAUAAGUAGCAAGUGAUGUCAAUGCUAUGUUUGUUUAAACUCAUUGCUGUUUGAACUGACUGAGCAACAAUAAUAAACCCCUUUGUUUUUACAUAAACAUUUUUUUUUCUCCUACAGGGAGCUCUUUUUAUUUAACAUGUGCCAUGAAAAAAAAUCACUGUGUUACUCCGUGUAAAGCAUGUCUGUUUAAAUCAAGUCAAUUAAAUGCAGUUCCUGAGAUUAAGGAGAAAGCAGCUGUAUUCUUGUUUGGAGCAGCUUGUUUUUUCUAGUUGAUUUAGUUGCAGUUUUCCAAUGUUACAUAAACAAAUAGUUUAAUCAGGAACAAUAGUGUGGAAUCUUAACUUUCCUUUUUCCUCUACCAGUGGCAAUAAAUAGCAUACAUAAUAAAGAAACUGUAAUUGUGAAACAAUGCCAUGCAAAAGAUAACACAGUGAUUAUUUUCAGUUUUAGAAAUCUGGCAUGAGCCACAAAGUUCAGAAGCAAGGUUUCACUAUAACACAGACUUAAACGAGGUAACUGACCCCACUGAAGUCAAAACAGUAAUAAACAGGCAUACAGGCUUCCUCCAUGCAAAAACUCCUGUUAAGUCCUUGAUGUAGCUGAGAAAUCACAUCCAAAGUUACAGUCUGCUCCCUGUUCUUUGGGUUUCUCUCUCUAACAUAAGCAGUAUUGGUUAGCUAUACCCAGGCAUGAGUGUGAGUGUGUGCUCAUGCACACGUAAUUCAAAAUGUAACACUCUCCCGUGAGUGCUUCUACCUCAGGGAAAAGAUGAUGGGAUUAAGUUCGUGACUGAUAUUAGUCAUGUUGCUUAAUACACUGGUGGGAGGCAACAAGCUGCUGCUCAGACAAAUGCCAGGCAGGAACCCAUGUAUUUGAGCAACCCCUUAAGUUUUGCGCUCAGUGUUUUGUAUGAACCUUGCAAGAGGCUAUAGUCAGUGCAAUGAAUUGUGACAGUAGGACUAGAAAUGUAUCGCUCUGAAACUCUUUGAAAAUCUGAAGCUGUAACCCAGUUCCUGCCUAAAUUUAGUGUGGUGCAUUGUGUGACAAGACAGUGACUCAGAGCAGUUACUCAUAUGCUCAAGAUGCUGUGAAGCUGGUACCGUUCUGGUGAACUUCUGAACUGUUGCCUUAAAAGCCAUCGAUUGCUACUUUGUGUGUGUAGCUUUUCUGAGAAGGUUGUGCUGAAGGAAAUUUGAAUAGAAAGUGCCAUUAAUGUUUUCAUUCCCAGCUUUAAUUCAUCAUCUCUGAAUAUAUUUCGCUGCCACUUAAACACUGUGGUUAACUCAUAGCUUGAUCAACAAGUUCUUGAAUAAGUCAGCUCCUAAAUGAAGGAGCUUUUCUCACAGUGCCUUGAAGGGGAGAAAAAAAAUGUGUUUUUUAAACCUUCUGCGUAAGUAGUUAGCACGACCUGUAAAACUCACAUACACUCCAAAAUAACAACAGCAAAAUAACAUGGAGGAGGCAGUAAAGUUAUUUUCCAAAGUUUUCCUGUGUUUUAUUAAACUUCAAAAAUAUCU